rnacentral:lncRNA from 1 species
GGGGGGGGGAAGAAGAAUGCAAAGAAAAUAUGCAACUAAAGCUACACAACAAAACACACUCACAACAUAAGACAAGACAACACACUCACAACACAAGACAAGACAACACACACUAACACAACAAAAGACCUAAAACCGAACCAUUGGUCCUCGGCAAUGGUGCCAAAAUUUUGAUGGGUGUCGCAACCCACACAAAAUUAAUGUGCAAUUAGGAAUGCAUUAUAGACUAGGAAGUGACUCCUAGGUCGUCUCCCAAGAACCAAUUGCGGUUUAAAAUUAGGUCAAACACGUAGUGGGGGGGGGUUUGUGAAAGGAUUGUGAAUGUGGAUAAACUAAAUUAAAACAUACAUGCAACUAAAAUGUAAUAGAAAUGUGAAAACAGAUUCAAAUACAGAAUAAAAACGGUUUCAAAGACAAAAUGGAAACGGUUGGUCAUUAACUUAAUUAAAAUGCUUUCCUAUCACAGAUCAACAAAAUAAAGCAGCAACUCAAACCUCUAAUCCAACACAGUUAACCAACUAAGCGAAGNCUAAUCAUGUUUUCAUAAAAGCGAACUAAGCGAACGCAAUGUUAACAACAAAUCCACUUUACACCAUGCAGUUUCAUCAACUAAGCGUAUACCCAAUUGCAAGUGCAAAUACAGAUGUCACAUUAACCAAGUCAGAGUGACAAACACAAUUACAAUCCAGAAAUCUCAAGGAAACACAAUAAUUUUAUUAAUGACCAACCCGACUACCUUAAGCUAACAUCACAAUUAAAUUAACACAAUCAGACAUACUAGACAUCAUUGAAGUAAAAGGAAAUGCUAAACCUAACACUGCAAUAGACAAAUAUCCAAACAUAAUUAAAGCUAUUAAAAUGCAACACUAAAUUAAG